rnacentral:rRNA from 1 species
CUGCGGCGUGCUACCUGCAAGUCGAACGGAGAUACGAUUUCGGUUGUAUCUUAGUGGCGAACGGGUGAGUAACGCGUGAGCAACCUGACCUUUAGAGGGGGAUAACACUUGGGAACAGGUGCUAAUACCGCAUAAGACCACGACCUGACAUCAGGAUGAGGUCAAAGGAGUAAUCCGCUAGAGGAGGGGCUCGCGUCCCAUUAGAUAGAUGGCGGGGUAACGGCCCACCAUGUCGACGAUGGGUAGCCGAGCUGAGAGGCUGAUCGGCCACACUGGAACUGAGACACGGUCCAGACUCCUACGGGAGGCAGCAGUGGGGAAUAUUGGGCAAUGGGCGCAAGCCUGACCCAGCAACGCCGCGUGAGGGAAGAAGGCCUUCGGGUUGUAAACCUCUGUCCUUGGUGACGAAACAAAUGACGGUAGCCAAGGAGGAAGCCCCGGCUAACUACGUGCCAGCAGCCGCGGUAAUACGUAGGGGGCGAGCGUUGUCCGGAAUUACUGGGCGUAAAGGGUGCGUAGGUGGCCUUUUAAGUUGGAUGUGAAAUACCCGGGCUUAACUUGGGGGGUGCAUCUAAUACUGGAAGGCUAGAGUGCAGGAGAGGGAAGCGGAAUUCCUAGUGUAGCGGUGAAAUGCGUAGAUAUUAGGAGGAACACCAGUGGCGAAGGCGGCUUUCUGGACUGUAACUGACACUGAGGCACGAAAGCGUGGGGAGCAAACAGGAUUAGAUACCCUGGUAGUCCACGCGGUAAACGAUGAAUACUAGGUGUAGGGGGUAUCAACUC